rnacentral:rRNA from 2 species
GUACCUGCGGAAGGAUCAUUA